rnacentral:rRNA from 1 species
UACGGGGGGAGCAAGCGUUGUUCGGAUUUACUGGGCGUAAAGGGCGCGUAGGCGGCCAGCACAAGUCAGUUGUGAAAUCUCCGGGCUUAACUCGGAAAGGUCAACUGAUACUGUCGGACUAGAGUACAGAAGGGGCAACUGGAAUUCUCGGUGUAGCGGUGAAAUGCGUAGAUAUCGAGAGGAACACCUGCGGCGAAGGCGGGUUGCUGGGCUGAUACUGACGCUGAGGCGCGAAAGCCAGGGGAGCGAACGGG